CACUGGAGCUUACAGGCUUUUUGGUAGGGCUAAUGGUGGACUCCGGGAGGGCUAACACCAAGGAGUACUUCCCAGAACUUCUGCUGCCAAUGUUCUUGUCCCCGUGGUGGGCCACAGCCAUCCCCUGCCUCUGCAGGAGACCCUCCAACACUAGCAGGAAGAUACUGGGUUUUGAAACGAUCCCCUCCCUUCACCUGUGGAAAACGUUAUACUAAAUGAUAAGGUGAUUCUG